GAUGAACGCUGGCGGCGUGCCUAAUACAUGCAAGUCGAGCGAACGGACGAGAAGCUUGCUUCUCUGAUGUUAGCGGCGGACGGGUGAGUAACACGUGGAUAACCUACCUAUAAGACUGGGAUAACUUCGGGAAACCGGAGCUAAUACCGGAUAAUAUUUUGAACCGCAUGGUUCAAAAGUGAAAGACGGUCCUGCUGUCACCUAUAGAUGGAUCCGCGCUGCAUUAGCUAGUUGGUAAGGUAACGGCUUACCAAGGCAACGAUGCAUAGCCGACCUGAGAGGGUGAUCGGCCACACUGGAACUGAGACACGGUCCAGACUCCUACGGGAGGCAGCAGUAGGGAAUCUUCCGCAAUGGGCGAAAGCCUGACGGAGCAACGCCGCGUGAGUGAUGAAGGUCUUCGGAUCGUAAAACUCUGUUAUUAGGGAAGAACAUAUGUGUAAGUAACUGUGCACGUCUUGACGGUACCUAAUCAGAAAGCCACGGCUAACUACGUG
rnacentral:rRNA from 1 species